rnacentral:rRNA from 1 species
UACAGAGGGGGCAAGCGUUGUUCGGAAUUACUGGGCGUAAAGGGCGCGUAGGCGGCCUGUUAAGUCGAACGUGAAAUCCCCGGGCUCAACCCGGGAACUGCGUCCGAUACUGGCAGGCUUGAAUCCGGGAGAGGGAUGCGGAAUUCCAGGUGUAGCGGUGAAAUGCGUAGAUAUCGAGAGGAACACCAGUGGCGAAGGCGAGUCCCUGGACAACGACUGACACUGAGGCACGAAAGCUAGGGGAGCAAACAGG